rnacentral:piRNA from 2 species
CGCCGGUGAAAUACCACUACUCUCAUCGUU